AUGAGGCCGAUUUUCGCUGGGAACUUGGAGUACGAUACUCGUCAAGCGGAACUUGAACGCUUGUUCUCAAAGUAUGGCAGGAUUGAACGCGUGGACAUGAAAUCUGGAACUUCUACUAAGGGAAAAUAUGCUGAGCUUCUGUCUUGGCUUGCCAACCACUUUUUAUGGAAGGAAACCUUCCGCUCUCCUUCUAUCCACCAAUCUGCAUUUUCUCAUGUGAUCAUUCUUCGUCACUCACUAACCUCAUCACUCAUCACUCAUCAUUGA
rnacentral:lncRNA from 1 species